GGGACGAACGCUGGCGACGUGCUUAACACAUGCAAGUCGAGCGGUAAGGCCUUUCGGGGUACACGAGCGGCGAACGGGUGAGUAACACGUGGGUGAUCUGCCCUGCACUCUGGGAUAAGCCUGGGAAACUGGGUCUAAUACCGGAUAUGACCUGCUCUCGCAUGGGGGGUGGGUGGAAAGAUUUAUCGGUGCAGGAUGGGCCCGCGGCCUAUCAGCUUGUUGGUGGGGUAAUGGCCUACCAAGGCGACGACGGGUAGCCGACCUGAGAGGGUGACCGGCCACACUGGGACUGAGACACGGGCCCAGACUCCUACGGGAGGCAGCAGUGGGGAAUAUUGCACAAUGGGCGAAAGCCUGAUGCAGCGACGCCGCGUGAGGAUGAAGGCCUUGGGUUGUAAACCUCUUUCAGCAGGACGAAGCGCGAAGUGACGGUACCUGCGAGAAGAAGCACCGGCUAACUACGU
rnacentral:rRNA from 1 species